AGUCAAUAGAUACCUGGGUAGUCCACGCCGUAAACGAUGUCGACUUGGAGGUUGUGCCCUUGAGGCGUGGCUUCCGGAGCUAAACGCGUUAAGUCGACCGCCUGGGGAGUACGGCCGCAAGGUUAAAACUCAAAUGAAUUGACGGGGGCCCGCACAAGCGGUGGAGCAUGUGGUUUAAUUCGAUGCAACGCGAAGAACCUUACCUACUCUUGACAUCCAGAGAACUUAGCAGAGAUGCUUUGGUGCCUUCGGGAACUCUGAGACAGGUGCUGCAUGGCUGUCGUCAGCUCGUGUUGUGAAAUGUUGGGUUAAGUCCCGCAACGAGCGCAACCCUUAUCCUUUGUUGCCAGCGGUUAGGCCGGGAACUCAAAGGAGACUGCCAGUGAUAAACUGGAGGAAGGUGGGGAUGACGUCAAGUCAUCAUGGCCCUUACGAGUAGGGCUACACACGUGCUACAAUGGCGCAUACAAAGAGAAGCGACCUCGCGAGAGCAAGCGGACCUCAUAAAGUGCGUCGUAGUCCGGAUUGGA
rnacentral:rRNA from 1 species